CAGCUUCAGACUUUCCAGGCGAAAGAAACGCCUCGUCUCUGAAUUCGACAGCGCCACACAGCUGCACGUCUCAGCAGGCUACGGGGAUGAUAAAAAUCAGCUGUGAAAACCAACAUUUCCACAAUACUGUUUGUAAGCCAAACAGUUCCUUCCUUCCAGCACAGACAGGAAUGCAGGAUUCUGGAGCUCUGCUCUGUCCCUCAGUUCCUAAUCAUCUUAGUGAGAUUGUAUGUCAGAACCUGCACAAAGCUCAGCUGGACCUCCAAAGAGACGCCUCCACCUUUUUGCCGUCCUACCAUCACACAGAUACAAGGACGGUCCUUCCCUUGUUUACCCGGACAGCACCUCAGUAUUGGAGCCAGCACGAAACAUCUUUUUUCUGGAGUCCCUCUCAAACAAGUGAGAGGUUUAGGUUUACUCAGGACAUGAACCAAAACUGCUUUAUGGGCUAAAAGUUAGACUUUGGUUUAAUUUUGCUGAUAAACUGUGCAAGAGCUGCAUGUUUUCUGAGAAAAUCUCAAUAAAUGAAGCACAACCUCCAGACUGCAGGGACAAAAAGUGACCAGUAGAGGGAGACAAAGACUUUUUUGUGUCUCAGAAGAAAAGGACAGUUUUUAUAAAUCCUUUCAUUACUUUGUUCAAUUGAGCAUUAUUAGAAAGUAGUAACACAACCAUUUCCAUUUACUGGGUUUGAUGAGUCAAAACAGAUGAUGAAAUGAACUGAAUAAAACCUUCAAACUUCAAAGCAGCAAAUGAAGCUAAGAAGAUAAGCCUCUUCUUUGCUGUGAUGUUUUAUUGAUGUGACUCUGCAGUGAUUAAACUCUCUCAGAUCAGAGAGUGUUUAAAGCAAUAAAUGCCAGAUUUGCUUGAAAGGUACAUGAUUUUAGAGGGUACAAGCUGUACUUGAGUGUUAAUAUGAAAAAAGAUAAAUCAGAGAAUUCCAUAGGAUGACCACAGCCUGAUGUGUCACCGUGUUUGUGGAUAGAGACUUGAUCACAUUGAUAUGAGUGUAUUUUUUAGCUCCAUAGGUCGUUUGUGAUUAUCAGGAAAUAAAUUACGGAUGCUAUCGCCUUUAUAGUCCAGAGCUCUGCUGUUAGUUGAGGUGCAGCGGGAGGAUCAGGCAUCCUUCCAAGACUUCUUUCCAGGAAAGCCAGUGGGGAGAUUCAGCUUCAAAAGAUCAGAACACGAUCUGAUAUCUGCACUUCUAUCACUUUUUAUGACUGCAACAGGGCAGAGGCUUUAAGUUCCUUCAUGUCCCUUUACUGUAGUGAAGAGGCAGUUAGACUCAAAGUUUCGCGAUAAUUGGCCACCGGAGCAAAGAUUGGGAUCAGAAUGCAAGCAGCUCGGUCAGCAUGGAGGAAACAGCCUACUGGCAAAAUGAUCCUCGUCGGAAUAAAGCGCCAUAAAGUCAGAUAGGUAAACGACAUCUCCAUGUGAAGCAUGCAUGCUGUGGGCUCUGCUGAAAGAACUGGCUCGGCUUGUUUCGGUUGGUGUCGUGAGAGUUCACGGAGGUGAAAAAAGGUCGAAGGAUCACCACCUCAUCCACCAAUAGUGGCCUGACGGUUAGUGAUGGGAACAUCUGCUUGUUCCAGUAGUGGAAGGAUCAAAUCUGGGUGGGACAGAUCCCUAGCAGUGUUUGUUCCACCCUUGUUAACCCCGUAAGUGCAAAGCUUUUGACCCCAAUUGCUUCAAUGGGGCUGCUCAGUGGUCACAAGUGUUUGUUAGUAUGUGUGUGGACCUGGGGUUGUGAUACAUGUGAAAAAUAAGAGGUUCAUUCAGAAUUGAGUCACAAGUAAAUAAAUUAAAAGAAGUUAAAAACGUUUAUUUGUGCAUUUUUAUU